rnacentral:lncRNA from 1 species
AUGGAAGACACUGCUGCUUCCCCUUCCACCACGAUUGUAAGUUUCCUGAGUUCUCUUCAGCCAUACAGAACUUGCACUGGCCAGAACCUCCCCUUCAAUGUUGAAGAGAAGUGAUGAUGGUGGUCACCCUUUUUUCCCUCCUGAUUUCAGGGAAAAGAUCAAGAUCUGUUCAUGAUUCCGACAAACAGCUACCUGCUGGCCUUCUUGGGCCCAGAGGUGCACACACCGGCAGUGCAGCAAGACCCACUCGGGAGUCGGACACAAGGAGAAGGCCCUCGCAGGCCCUAGAAGCGUGCUGGAGGCCAUUUCGGCAAGACUGUGGACUAAGCGAGUGCUUGGCAAAAGCCACUGGCCUGUGGGCUCCUUGCUCUGUGAGGAGGGGGCGGGCUGAGGGGGACCAGGCCAGGCUCUCAAACAAAGAGCCUAUCAGGCACAGUGACUUUGGGUCUAUAGGUCACACUGCACAGCUCGCUCGCUCUCUCUGUCUCUCUCUCUCUCUCUCUCCACCCCUCCUCCUCCUUCCCCCUUCUUCCUUCCUCUUUAUCUAAACUUUCACUGGGAUAAUUGUAGAUUCACAUGCAGUUGCAAGAAAUAAUACAAAACCUGGCCCUGGUGGCUGGAGGUCUGCACACAAUGGCCCCUCGUGGAGUAAGGCAAGAAAGGUGGGAGUCGGGGGGCAGGCUGCAGAUGGGACAGGGAAUUCUCAGUUGGAACCUGCUCUCUGUGUCAGGAUGAAGUUGUAUUUAGCAAGGACAUGCUAUUUAAUGGUUUGUUAGCUUGAGGAAUAACUUUUAAAUAUUUAUACAGAUGGUAUGUGGGCAUCCCUUUGUACUUCUGCCCCACGUCCCUGCAAAGGUUAGGGUAAGCUUGGGGCUGGCAGUGCUUGUUUUCAUCAGUGAAUUAUCCCUAGAGAAAGUCUGAAGGUUCUGGAACCUAACCACAAUAGCCCAUUAGGUCCCUGCAAAGGUGUUAUCCCUCCCUUGCAGAGCUUCUUAAGAGUCGGCAGCCAAAGAAAGAAGUGCUCCAGGAGUGUUGACGGCAGUGUGUGGAAGACUGAGGCUUAGGGAAAGGUUUUCGUGGUAGUACUGAAAUGAGGAACUCUUGUUCCCUUGGGAUAAAUCAUCUGUACUCAGUAAACUGAUCUAUUUCUCUGCUCUGGUGUUUUCUUCUUUUGUGAUUUCCCUUAGCAUCCUAGUAAAAUUUCAUACAAAAAGCUCCUGUAUGUCUUGGCUGACCUGGGAGGCUAAGGGGAAUGUAGGUUUGUGGGCUUGGCCAGCUGGGGAGUCCAGAGCCCAGGGACUCAGGACAGAGCCAAAAGAACCAUGGCAGGUGGAGCCACAGGGAUAUUUUGUAACCUCUGCUACCUAGCCCUUAUACAAGGUCGAUGAAGGACCCAGCAGCUUCAGGAAGGCAGAAACUGUAUCUGUCACCACUCUAGUGCCCAGGACAUGUGUGUGAC